GGGCGGGGCCGGGCGCCGAGGGCAUCCCCGCGCGGCCGCGCGCACCCCGGUCCGUGCGCGGCCCCGCGCGGCCCCGCGCACCGCUGCGGGAAGCGGAGGCGGUGGCGGUGGCGACCCCCCGGUGCUGGGCUCUCCCCGGAGCAGCCCGCAUCGCCCCCAGAAAACUUGAGCAAGAGGUGAUGUGUCUGACGACCACGUAGUUGGCUUCCCCUAGCACACACGAGAGUGACAGUCAUCUAAGUUAUAGUUUAAUCCGAUGAACAGGAAAUCCUGGCAAACAGGGGAGCCUAUUCUGCAUGCCAUCAUUAGCAGGUACCUGAGAAAGUCGAGAAGCUCCCAGGCACGUCUCAGAAUUGUAUUCAGGGAAGAAGAAGGUGUCCUGUCAUGAGAAAAUGGAAGAAAUAUGCAGUGAGAGAAGAAAUGAUGUUCUAAAACUGAGUCCUAUUCUUUUUUUUUUUUAAUGUGCAUCGAAAGAGAAUAUUAAGUAGUGUCUACAAUUUAGAAGAUUCAUCAAGAACCCUGAUAAGUACAAAUUAAGAACCUGACUCUGAUCCAUCCUUCAUAUUCCUUGUUUUUAAUUUAGACUUCGACUGAGCCAGAGGUACAGGAGCGUCUGGGAAGAAUCUGAAUAAAAAAGCAAGAGCAGAAAUGAGCGUACCACUUGAGACAGAGUUGAAGGGUUGACUGAAUUAGAAUUCUCUUAAUAAGCCACAGAAAAGUGACUAAUGUCAUCAAAACAGAAUCUCUGCAGUUCUUGCUGGAGCCAUCAGCUCUACCUGAGGUUGAAUAUUAUUACUAUUCAUCAUCAAUAUCCUCUGCCUCAGGAUGUCAUUUCUAAGGUGAUUUUCUCAUCAGUAUUUUUUUUCCAUUUUGGUUUCUUAUCUUGACUU